AACCCUGCCUCCCAAUCCUAUCUCUGACUCCAGCACACCACCGCCUCUUGCCACGCCACGCCCCCGCGGCCGCGCGCCGCUGGCCCAUCCCCCGCCGCCCCCACCCCCUCGCAUGGUUUCCAUGGUUAGAUCUGCCGGCCGCCCGGUCGAUUUUGCCUUGAACGAGAAUGUGAGCUCGCGGGCGCCGCUGCAUCUGCUCCGACGAAAGGGGCGGGAGAUGGCGCUGCUGGAGGCCGUGAUUGGGGGGAGACGGCAGGGAGUAUGACGAGCUCAGGGAGGAGAGGUUGGAGGGAUGGACGCGGGAGUCAAGCCGCCACGAACGACGAGUCAACAACACGUGCCGCACGGGCACGCGACCACCGUGUCUCCCGUCAAUCCGGUCGCCCAUGAGAGGGACGAAUGCGAUCACGAGUUCAUGUCCACAUACUGGCGGUGGAGGAGGCGGAGGAGGGCUCAACACAAGGUGGAUCAUCCUUGCGUUGGGGUCCUCGACGGGGAGGAAUUGACCACUGGCAUGCAGCGGCUCAGGUCCGGAUUGAUGCGCGGCCAUGGGGCGAUGGCCAGGGUGAUCCACAAUGCCCGGGUCAACGAGUGCGUCGUCCUAGACCUCUACUCCUUCAGCACGCUGAUCCGGGGCUGCGGCCAGGUGAUCUGGAGCGUGCACGGAAGGUGUUCGAUGAACUUACCUAACCGGCAGAAACCUGGAUGAUGGAAGGGCUCUGUGGUAGAUCGAUCAAGGGAACAUACUAUUUGAGCAGUGAAAAAGAAAAUGAAGGAACAGAUGGAUGAUUUUCAGGUAAUGAGAGAAUCAAUCGGGCAGGAAUACCGGGAAGUCGUUGAAAGAAGGGUAUUCACUGUAACUGGUAAUCGCCUUGAUGAAGAGUGUGCCUCCUUUGUAACUUUGGAACCUGCGGACAAUUGAUGGUUUAAUCGAGACAGGAAGAAGUGAGCAGAUUUUCAAAGAUGCAGUUCAGCAGCAGGGGAGAGCCCAUGUAUAUAUGAGUUAUAACUUGGUCAUGAUCUGGACACUUGUGGGAAAAACACAUCGAAAUCUCAGGAUGAUAAUUUUUCAUCCAUGUUGCAGAUAUUGGAUACUGUUGUUGAGAUACAGGAGCGGCAUGAUGCUGUAAGAGAUCUAGAGAGGAAGCUUCUGGAGUUGCAGAAGGUUAUACUGUUUUAAUGCACAAGCUCUUUUGCAAUUUAUUUUAUAGUUGACACUUGACACCUACCAUGCAUGCAUAUGUGAAUCGAAGGGAUUUCCUUUCCUGGGUUUUGGCUUGUAGAUAUUCCUGGAUAUGGCAGUGUUGGUUGAGGCUCAAGGAGACAUGAUCAGCCACAUAGAGACACAUGUAAGACGAUGAAUGUUUAGGGUAGUAUUUUUUUUUUCAAAAAUAUGUUUAGGGUAGUGUUAGUACGCAACAAGUAAAAACACAAUUUGUGAUGCCGCCUCCACCGGUAGUGACAACACGGUCGCUGCAUUUGGUCUAUCCCGAGCCUCUGAUUGUGGUUGCUGUUCUUUCGAUAUCCGCUUGCCAUGAUAUUGUGGCUGGACUUCUGGUAUGUGUAAUGUGUUACCUCUAAUUUUUUUUAUCUGGACUAAUUAGGGCCUGCUUCUGUUUGCUCUAAUUGAUAUAAUGGUUGUGGCAUGCAGCAGCCAAGCCAACAACAGAGCCAGGCUUAGGCCUGAUAAUGACUUGACAAAUAUGGUCAAAAUGCUGGAGAUGACGAAUCUAACGAAACUGAAGAAAUACGCGGCGCGCCGGGGGGGGAGGGGGGGGGGUACUCUUAACUUUAGUUCCUUAUUAUUUUUGUAUGUUCAUUGCUAUGUAUCUGUAUAAACAUGCUUCGACCAUUGUUGUCAAUUGGCCGGCAAACGGGCUGCAUAUUUCUAGCCAUGCAGAAUAAGCGGAUGAGAUGAUGUCCAUUCAUUGGUGGCACAAAAUCAAUUUCCCUUUCCAACUAA